rnacentral:misc_RNA from 1 species
GAUGAAGAACGUAGUGAAAUGCGAUAAGUAAUGUGAAUUGCAGAAUUCAGUGAAUCAUCGAAUCUUUGAACGCACAUUGCGCCCCCUGGUAUUCCGUGGGGCAUGCCUGUUCGAGCGUCAUUUCACCACUCAAGCCUCGCUUGGUAUUGGGCAACGCGGUCCGCCGCGUGCCUCAAAUCGACCGGCUGGGUCUUCUGUCCCCUAAGCGUUGUGGAAACUUUCGCUAAAGGGUGUUCGGGAGGCUACGCCGUAAAACAACCCCAUUUCUAAGGUUGACCUCGGAUCAGGUAGGGAUACCCGCUGAACUUAAGCAUAUCAAUAAGCGGAGGA